UUUCUGAAACUGUUUCGAUAU
rnacentral:piRNA from 1 species